rnacentral:rRNA from 1 species
GAUGAACGCUGGCGGCGUGCUUAACACAUGCAAGUCGAACGGAAAGGCUCCUGCUUUCAGGGGUACUCGAGUGGCGAACGGGUGAGUAACACGUGGGUGAUCUGCCCUGCACUUCGGGAUAAGCCUGGGAAACUGGGUCGAAUACCGGAUAUGACAAUGGUUUGGAUGCCAUUGUGUAAAGAUUUUUCGGUUUGGGCUGAGCUCGCGGCUUAUCAGCUUGUUGGUGGGGUAUUGGCCUACGAAGGCGUAGACGGGUAGCCGGCAUGGGAGGGUGUACGGCGACCUUGGGCCUGCGAUAGGGAGCAGAAUGCAACGGGAGGCAGUAGUGGGGAACCUUGCGCAAUGGGGGCAAGUGUGAUGCAGAGACCCUGGGUGGGGGAUGAUGGCUUUUGGGUUGUAAACUCAUUUCGAUGGGGCUGAAGAGCAAGUGACGGUACCUGGAGAAGAAGCCACGGCUAACUACGUG